rnacentral:rRNA from 1 species
UACGUAGGGUGCGAGCGUUAAUCGGAAUUACUGGGCGUAAAGCGUGCGUAGGUGGUUCGUUGUGUCUGUGGUGAAAGCCCCGGGCUUAACCUGGGAAUGGCCAUGGAAACUGGCGAGCUGGAGUCUGGCAGAGGGGGGUGGAAUUCCGCGUGUAGCAGUGAAAUGCGUAGAGAUGCGGAGGAACACCGAUGGCGAAGGCAGCCCCCUGGGCUAAGACUGACGCUGAGGCACAAAAGCGUGGGGAGCAAACAGG